GGCGCCCCUGCAGGCCCCGCCCCUGCCUCCUCCCCUCUCCGCUCGCUGCUCCCGGAGUAGUUGGUGCCAGUGAAGUGAGGGCGGCGAUGAGAGCGAAAGUUGCGCUCGGCUCGUCGCUGGGGGCUUGAAGCGGCUCCGCGCUCUGCCCGUUUGGGCCUCCCCCGACUCGGACUCGCGCCCGUGGGCUCCCGCCGCGCCCGCCCGGCCCCGCGCCGGCCCCGCGCCCCCUCCCCCGUCUCGGCGCCCCCUCCUCAGGAGCCGCGGGUCCCCGCCACUUUCGCACGGCCCCGGCCCCCGCCGAUGCCGGCCAUGGUGGAGAAGGGCCCCGAGGUCUCAGGGAAGCGGAGAGGGAGGAACAACGCGGCCGCCUCCGCCUCCGCCGCCGCCGCCGCCUCGGCCGCCUGCGCCUCGCCAGCCGCCACUGCCGCCUCGGGCGCCGCCGCCUCCUCAGCCUCGGCCGCCGCCGCCUCAGCCGCCGCCGCCCCCAAUAAUGGCCAGAAUAAAAGUUUGGCGGCGGCGGCGCCCAAUGGCAACAGCAGCAGCAACUCCUGGGAGGAAGGCAGCUCGGGCUCGUCCAGCGACGAGGAGCACGGUGGCGGUGGCAUGAGGGUCGGACCCCAGUACCAGGCGGUGGUGCCCGACUUCGACCCCGCCAAACUGGCAAGACGCAGUCAAGAACGGGACAAUCUUGGCAUGUUGGUCUGGUCACCCAAUCAAAAUCUGUCAGAAGCAAAGUUGGAUGAAUACAUUGCCAUUGCCAAAGAAAAGCAUGGGUACAACAUGGAACAGGCUCUUGGGAUGCUCUUCUGGCAUAAACAUAAUAUCGAAAAGUCAUUGGCUGAUUUGCCCAACUUUACCCCUUUCCCAGAUGAGUGGACUGUGGAAGAUAAAGUCUUAUUUGAGCAAGCCUUUAGUUUUCAUGGGAAAACUUUUCAUAGAAUCCAACAAAUGCUUCCUGAUAAAUCUAUAGCAAGUCUGGUGAAAUUUUACUAUUCUUGGAAGAAGACGAGGACUAAAACUAGUGUGAUGGAUCGACAUGCCCGGAAACAAAAACGGGAGCGGGAGGAGAGCGAGGAUGAACUGGAAGAGACAAAUGGAAACAAUCCCAUUGACAUUGAGGUUGAUCAAAACAAGGAAAGCAAAAAGGAGGUUCCCCCUACUGAGACAGUUCCUCAGGUCAAAAAAGAAAAACAUAGCACACAAGCUAAAAAUAGAGCAAAAAGGAAACCUCCAAAAGGAAUGUUUCUUUCUCAAGAAGAUGUGGAGGCUGUUUCUGCCAAUGCCACUGCUGCUACCACGGUGCUGAGACAACUAGACAUGGAAUUGGUUUCAGUCAAACGACAGAUCCAGAAUAUUAAACAGACGAACAGUGCUCUCAAAGAAAAACUUGAUGGUGGAAUAGAACCAUAUCGACUUCCAGAGGUCAUUCAGAAAUGUAAUGCACGUUGGACUACAGAAGAGCAGCUUCUCGCCGUACAAGUUACUCAUCGAGCUCUGACUCGUCAGAAGUACAAAACCCCAAAAGAAGCAGACAGAGUGUUCGGCUUUAAAGGUUGGGGGUGCUCUGGACCUGCGAUACCAAAAGAUGAAUGCAGAAUGUCUCCAACCCUAGGGCAAUUGCUGGGUGACUUCAGCUGUUAUGUGACAUGUAAUGGGAAGACAGAUAUCAAAAUGACAGGGUCGGUCAUCUCCAGAAUGUGUCUAGAAUUGACUGGUACUUUUUCCUACUCUAAUAAUACACGAAAUUAUUGCCUGCUGUUAAAAGCCUGUAUGUUUUCUUAUCUGGAUAAAGAGGUAAGUGUCACUUGUGGUUUUAAAAAAAUGUUUUUCUCUUGUGUUUUAAAAAAUGCUUUCUUACAUCCUUAGCCAUCAGGAAAUAUGGCCGAGAUUUUCAGGCAAUCUCAGACGUGAUUGGGAACAAAUCAGUGGUACAAGUGAAAAACUUUUUUGUAAAUUAUCGACGCCGCUUCAACAUAGAUGAAGUUUUACAAGAAUGGGAGGCAGAACAUGGUAAAGAAGAGACCAAUGGGCCCAGUAACCAGAAGCCUGUGAAGUCCCCAGAUAAUUCCAUUAAGAUGCCCGAAGAGGAAGACGAGGCUCCUGUUCUGGAUGUCAGAUAUGCAUCUGCCUCCUGAGAAACUGGUGGCUUUGAACACUUGGUGUGGACUACUGUGUUAUCCGGGAUAUCAGGUAUUACGAGACAUCACCUAGCCAUCUGCAUCACAUCUCUCUGGACAAGCAGCUAUUACCAAAAAAGGCAUAUACUUCCAGUCCUGUGCUCCAUCUGCCUUAAUUCUUUGCUCGUUCCUCCAUGUUGGCGCCACUUCCCAGAGAGCUCCACUGCAUCUCACACUCUGCCCACGUGCUGGGGAAAUCUCAUGGCCUGCACAUCUCUUGUGACUCUGGGAACCGCCUCUCCCGCCGGAGCCCCCGAGCCCCACCAAUGGCAGCUCUUCCCAGUCAGCAGCUUCAGAGCAGGCAGUCUCCUCGGAAGGCCCGACUCUGUUCCUGCAUGGCCUGCAGUUUCUACUUUGUGCAUAGAGUAAUUUUCAGAGUAACCGCGACCCUGUUGGCCUUCUAGAAAGUUUCUCUUGUUCUUUUCUGAGACAACCACCUAAGUGAUAAUACGCUUUUUUGGAAACUAAUAUAUAUAGCCAGACUGCAUCAUAACCUUUAUCAUGCCAAGCAUCCUGAUGCAACUCACAUUUCCCUAAACAUGGGGUAUAGUUAUGAUUUAUAAAUUGAGUUGGCUUAAAUCUCCCUCUUCUCCCUUCCCAAGUGUUACAAAGAUCAUUUACUGCAACUGUCGUUGGACACUGUAGCUUAAAGGGAACGUGGACCUCAAUGCUUUCUGCCUUCAACUUUUCAGCAUUGUGACCCCAGGGUGGUUGCCACCCCAUCUUUUCCUGACCCCCCCCCCCCACCUCCAAGAGGUUCGGCCCACAUCACUGUACCUGGUGCUUGUAAAUUUGGAAUUGGUGCCUUCUCCUUUUGGCAACCAUGGUUAUCAAUCCUUUUUCUGUUUUAGUGUCUUAUUUCUUCUUUCAAGUUAUUUGCUAGCCAAAGAUGACAUCACUGAGAUUAGGAGACAGGGGAGAGCUUGCUGCAGAUUCUGACAGUGCAGAUUUUAAAUGUCAGGAUAUUAGAAUAGCUGGCGCUGGUUUAUGAAAGCUGCGCGUUGUUCCGCGUUCUCUCGGUGCGCCUGGCCUUUUAUGUGGCACUCUGUAUGUCAGUUUGUGUCCUUCAUGUGCUGAUGUGAUUACACAAACACCAUCCACUCUCUUUUCAUAUCAGAGUACAGGACAGAGAAGUGAUCAAUGUAUUGGUCUAGUGAGACUGAGAUGAAAAGAAAUAACCUACAGAGUGGUCUGUAAUGCCUUUUGGUUGGACUGGGAACAAGUAAAAAUUUCUAAUAAACAUUUUGAGACUUCCAGAAUCACUUUUGUUAUCUUACCAGACCAUGGGCCUGCUGAGGGUUGAGGAGCAGACAGCCUGCAUUCUAACAUACCCUGUUCCCACCCCACGGCCAUUCAGACUGCACUCAAUACGCCGAAGUCGCUUUUGUUGUUGUUGUUGUUUGCAUCAUUUGGAUUUUUUUUCUGCUUUCAAUACCAAAAAAAUGCAGAUGCUUUAAGGCAUAAACAGAAUUCUUAAGAAUUUAAAAUAUGCAAUUAAAGUUUGAUAUGUUUUGACUCCCAAGCACCUUGUUUUUUGUUGUUGUUGUUGAAGUCAGCUGAUUUUCUCUUUAGAAAGAGGGUCAGCUAGAAACCUAGGAUUUUUGGAAUUGUAAAUUUUUUUUUAGUAUAGUCUGGAGAGAAAGGUCAUUCAAAAGGGAAGUACAAUGGGACUUGCUGCCCUUCAUCAUCUCGUUCCCGUGCCAGGUGUGUGUUGGUCACGUAAAAGCCUGGGAAGCAUCAGAGGAGUCCCGGAUUGCUGCUGCUACCUGGAGACAGGGUUAGCAAAAUAACACUAGUGAUGAGGGAGAGGCUUCUUUUCACCAUAAGCCUGCUGUGUACACCGAGGGCGGCAGGAGAAGCAUGGGAAGGAGUCAGCCUAAGUUUGCACAUUGCAUAAAGGGUACACUAAGGUAUGAGCUGAAGCUUUAGGUUCUCCGUGCUUCCCUCAAGACCUGCUCCUUGCUAACAGAAGCAGUAGGCAAUUGCUGCAGUGCGUUUCUCACCCUGCCAAUAGGUCUGUCUAUAUCUCUGUUAAGGAAAAUAGCCUGGUCCCUCCUGGCAGUGCUUGGAAGCUUGAUGCUAAUUUUUAUAUAGCGUGGCAAGCUGACCAGCAGUGCCAGGCCUUGAUCUGUAUUCUGCACUAUCCCUUUACUUGGUUCCUGGCACUGAAUGGUCUCCAACCCUGAAGAAUCACGUGUGAUCACAGCAGCUGACCUGGGCUUUCUCCCCGAGAGGAAGGGGCAUGUCAUUUUUAUUUGACAGAGGGAAAAUGGGAGCUGUCCUUGACUGCCUUUGUUGUGCUUUCCCGCGUUAAGAUAGCACUGUGUUUUAAACUGUUGCAUUACACUGUCUUUGCAAUGAUGUAAAUGUAAGAAAUCACUUAGCUUUAAAAGCGCAGUGGUUUGAUCUUAUUUAUAUGAAGACUUUUUAACAUAUCAAGAAUUAGGUGCAUUGGCAGGUAGGGUUUGGGGUGUGAUAACUGCUUCAGAUGGAAUGUUCACUUAAGCUUUGUCUUCUUAAAAAUUAUCAAUGUGAAUGUCAUAAUUAUAUAUAUUUUUGUGGAAAAUUUUCUCCUAAGUAUAAGUUAUUGUGCAAAAUAUAGUGUCAUUGAUGCAAAUAAUAGUUUAACUUUUAGUUUAGAACUCCUAAAAGAUAUAAGUUGUAUUGCAUAUGCAUUAAAAGUUUGUUUUAUUUAAUUUUAUGUAGAUAUGUCAAGUGUUAGGUAAAAUUUUUUUCACUUAUCCAUUUAAACACCUUGUUACUUGAAUAUUGUGUUGACUGGUCUGCAACAGUGAUCCAUUCUGUAAUAUAGCUCUUUUAACUGGGAAGGAACCACACCCCAGUUGUGCCGAUUACAUUAGUGUUGGCACACAGUCGGGUGCUAGUGUAACACAAAUGCCACGUUGUCUGGGUGUACAGUGUUUGUGGAGACGCCACUUCCUCAAAAUGGUUUUUGAUCGUUUUUAACCUAUAAGACGUUUUGAUGCUCACAAACCUCUAUUCAACACACAAAACAAACAUGAAAAGGUAGUUAGUUGGGUUGUAACAGCUUACUGGGGUGGACUCAUGAAGCAGUGGCUUUCUGUUCAUCUAAAGUUUCCUCAGAUACCACAGACCACUGUUAAGUGUGCUCAUUGUCACUUUAAAUUUCAACGAUACCCUAUUUUUGUCAUUCUAAAUAUCAGACGUACUAUUGGUAUAAUUGCACACCAAAAAUAAGCCAAACAGUGCAUUACGCUAACUGGAUCCCUGCUUUUAUGUGAGCUAAGGAAAGAUGGAGCCAACUCCAACGAGGGCCUCUUUUUCUCUCUUGUCUAGCCUGUUUCUAAACCGAAUGAUCCAGGAUUCAAGCUUCUAUUGUCAAGUGAAACUUUCCUCAGAUGGACUCCAGGUGGCCAGGUCACCUAAACCUAGUGGUCCUGUGCGAUGCUCUUUCUGCCAGUCCCUGAAUCUCUGCAGCUUCUCUUACCUGUCUUACCUGUAGUAAAGCACAAUUGCAGUGGCGUCGCAUUCAGAAGAAGGGAAGGUCAGCAGAGGCUAUGCAUGUUGUGUGAUGAUGAGUGUUUACAGCCACCUUCUCCUAAAACGAAAUUUAUACCGGGGUGGAUAGUAUUCCAUUAGGUAGACUUAUCGACUUUGCUAAGUGCUUUUUAGACAGCUUAAAAAAUUUUCAAGAUUUUAAAAGAUGUAUAAGGUUAAGUUUGCAAAUAUAAUGGAAAUGCUGUAUAUCUUUUGAAGUGAUGAAAUCCACGUUGGAAUUUUAAAGAAAAUAUGUUGUAAUAAUGCUGUUGUAAGUAAUAUUUUAAUGUCUCUUUGCCUGUUUUCUAUUUCAGCACAUUCAUUGUGGUGAAUGUUCAUAGCAUUAUAACUGCUUAGCCAUUGAAUGAUAACAUUUGUUAGUGGAAAUUGGAAAAUUUAUUUGUGAAAUUCUGCAGAAUUCAUUUUUCUAUUUCCAAUAUUUGCUGAGGUUAAAUAAAAAUUUUCAAGCCAUUGAUGUAAUAAAA